AUGAAGGAGAAGAGGAGAGGGUUAGUGGAGGUAUGAAGGAGGAGAGUAGAGGGUGAAUGGAGGUAUGAAGGAGGAGAGAAGAGGGUGAAUGGAGGUAUGAAGGAGGAGAGGAGAGGGUGAAUGGAGGAAUGAAGGAGGAGAGGAGAGGAUGAAUGGAGGUAUGAAGGAGGAGAGGAGAGGGUGAAUAGAGGUAUGAUGGUGGACUGUAUGUUUGUGAUCAUGUUCAUCUGUGUGUAUGUCCGUGAGCCUCCUUGUGUGUGAAAUAGGUGUCCGCAGGCUGAGAUCACACACAGCGUGAGGCUCCAGUUGUCUGACCCUUGUCUGGGAGGAUGAGCUCAUCUCUUUAGACCAUAACAACCCUGUCUCUCUCUCUCGCUCUCUCUCUCUCUUUUUCUCUCUAGCUCUCUCUCGCUCUUGUUCUCUCUCACGCUUAGCUAUGACCUUGGAUUGGCUGAGCUGCCGGCCAUGCAUACUAAGUAGGGUG
ensembl:lncRNA